ensembl:lncRNA
CUUCACUGCCAGUUGGUCAACAACCUCACUUUUCCUGGCCCUUCUUUGCCAUUGCCUUCAACUUCAGCUCUCCUCGGAUUAUCUUAGCAUUCUGGAAAAAUACAAAAAACCUCAUCUGCCUGCCCUCCAGCUACCAGACACUGCCUCAGAAACAGUGGAACUCAGCCUUUGCCACUACUCACCUGGAUUCUCACCACCUCUCCCUCAAAGCCAAGUUCACCCCGGCUAUCAACGCACCCGCUCCGUCCCUGCCACAAUCUGUCAAUUCUCCGUUCACCCCCACAGCCGCAUCAUUAGUAACACUUUGCCACGAAUUCAUCAGUUGACUUAAUAAUAAAAAACUGUAAAAUGCCGUCUCUGUUGUGGUUCUCUGCGAGUCCAGUUUAGCUAUCGGCCUGUGGCCAUUGUGAUAUAUUGUUUCAAAGCCUAUAGUCAAAUGUAUCAUUAAUAUUAACAAUUUUAUUUAACUGUUGUGUGAUGAAGGUUUAAUGAGGCAGCAAACAUGUAGGUAUAUGACUUACACUUUCAGAUGCACCUGUAUGUGUUUCUGACAGGUUGUUGUGUAUUUUGGAAGGGGGGGGGAUGAUCACAUUAAACAUUUAUACUAG